rfam:Gossypium hirsutum cultivar TM-1 chromosome 11, whole genome shotgun sequence
AAACCAUGCAUUGGGCAUUUUCUAAUUAACUCUUUAAAUCACUCUCAUGCUUCAUAUAAUGUUUCAUCCUUAGAUUGCCGAAAGGACGUAAUAUCAUUCUUCAAUUU